GUGCUUGUUUCAACAGCACAGAUACUAACCUCAGAAUGAUACAGAGAAGAUUAGCAUGGCCCCUGGCCAAGGAUGACACAAAAAUGCUACAACAAAUAAAAAGCCUGA
ensembl:snRNA U6 U6 spliceosomal RNA